rnacentral:rRNA from 1 species
CGUCGUACCAAAUUGCUGUAAAUGCACUUCAUUUAUUCAGAUCUUGGAAGCUAAGCAGACUUGAGCCUGGUUAGUACAUGGAUGGGUGAUCACCAGGGCUUGGCAGGUGUUGUAGUGU